rnacentral:rRNA from 1 species
UACGUAGGCAGCAAGCGUUGUUCGGAAUUACUGGGCGUAAAGAGUGUGUAGGCGGUGCUCUAAGUCUGUUGUGAAAUCUCCCGGCUUAACUGGGGGGGUGCGGCGGAAACUGGAGUGCUCGAGGGUGGGAGAGGUAAGCGGAAUUCCUGGUGUAGCGGUGAAAUGCGUAGAUAUCGGGAAGAACACCUGUGGCGAAAGCGGCGCACUGGACCAUAACUGACGCUGAGGCGCGAAAGCUAGGGGAGCAAACAGG